CAAUACGACUCUCGGCAACGGAUAUCUCGGCUCUCGCAUCGAUGAAGAACGUAGCGAAAUGCGAUACUUGGUGUGAAUUGCAGAAUCCCGUGAACCAUCGAGUCUUUGAACGCAAGUUGCGCCCCAAGCCCUUAGGCUGAGGGCACGUCUGCCUGGGUGUCACGC
rnacentral:rRNA from 1 species